rnacentral:sRNA from 1 species
GCCCAAAGUCGCACGUGCCUGUGGGUGUCCGCCGGUCCUCAAAUGGUGAGGGAAAACCGGUACGGUACCUGGACCUAACCGCUCCAGUUGAUCUGAUGGCCAACCGCCAGAUCAAGGACAUCUUGAAGCAACGACGGUGCGGGCCUUU